GGAAAAUUGGUGCAUACUUUUCGUCAGUUCUCCUAUGAUUCACUGAAACCCGCGGCCAGGCGUUACUCAGCGGCAGCCACUUUCUUGCUUAUCACCACUUAAGCACCUCGCGAAGAGAGAGGAAGGAGCAUUGAUGAAACUGCCAGUGUGAGUGCAUUCGUGUGGGAAAACCAGGCUGAAAGGGCCCAUCAGGUGCCUAGUCAUCCCCUUCACCCCGAAGCACCCGUCUGGGCUCCUGCAGUGAAGGUUCCUCCCAUAACAUCGCUGGCUCCAGUUUUACAAGUGCAGGGGACUACAGAGCUACAGUAAGAGCCUGUGAUGCCGCCCGGGCAUUGUCAACCCUGCCCCAUGUCAACCCUGCCUGGUGCC